CAGCAGUCGCCGCGGUAAUACGAGGGGGGCAAGCGUUGUUCGGAAUUAUUGGGCGUAAAGGGUGCGUAGGCGGUUCAGCAAGUCUCGUGUGAGAUCUUCGGGCUCAACCCGAAGUCUGCACGGGAAACUACUGGGCUUGAGUAAUGGAGAGGUGAGUGGAAUUUCCGGUGUAGCGGUGAAAUGCGUAGAUAUCGGAAGGAACACCUGUGGCGAAAGCGGCUCACUGGACAUUUACUGACGCUGAUGCACGAAAGCUAGGGGAGCAAACAGGAUUAGAUACCCGCGUAGUCCCUGUCUCUUAUAC
rnacentral:rRNA from 1 species